UCAAUAUAAAAAAUACAUAUAUUUUUAGAUAACAAAGACAUUAAAAAAGAAACGAAAUAUUAUUAGAGCUGAUUGUAAUUAUGUGCACUCCUAUUUAAGAGAAACAAACGUUAAGAGAAACUCAACGUUUGGAGUCAUGUAAUAUCCCAAUUUCUCUCCUCCCAGCCGCGCCGGAGAAGUCUAAGGAGGGGGGACGCCAGUGCUCCGGCACCCGAGACCACCGCGUCGUGCGCUCACGCGGGGGUCUUCGGCCCACACCCCCGCCCGUACCGAGGUGGCCGGGGCCACUGGUGCCGCCAACCGCGCCGGGGAUGCCGCGCCCACGCUCGGCCGCCGUCGGAGACACCGCCGUGUGCCCCUCCACCAUGUGCUUGUCGCGACGCCGUUGUCCCUCUCCAUCACCUCCCUAGGCCAUGGCCGCUUCUCCCUCCUCCGCAUCCCCCGCUCGGUUUGGUCUCUCCUGUUUCGUGCCACCUCGAGCUCAUAGGGCUCCUCGCGUUCCUCAACUGCGUCGAUUUACCACAGCUGGCCACUGCCGUGGAAUCACGCGAAGAGAAUAAUGCAUGGCGGAGGAGGACUUGGCGUGGCUCGGUGCUGGCUAACAAGCUCCGGCUCUGUUGUACUCAUUUGUGACUAAGGAGCAGGUAAGAUGGCUUCUUCUCGCGGCGUGAGGAUGGGGCUCUAUUGGGCUGGCCAGCCGGUGGAGCAAGACCGCGAUGAAGCCCAUCUAGCAGCCGUCGACCAUCAACAGCAGGUGUCAUCUUCCCCAAGGCUCGUCUUUCACACUGCUAUUCCUCUGCCUGUACGCUGUACUGCUCUGGCAUAAGAAACGGUUGCUUGCAAGGUGUUUGAUAAAAUGUCAACCAUGACUCUAGAACCAAAUUCAGUGUGGUCCAGCUAUAGGCAAUUGUGGUACUGAUGUCCAAAGUUACUGACUACUUAUUCUGAAGAUGCACAGAUCUUUUGGUGACUAGCCAUGAUACAAGUUCCACGUUAUCUUUUGGAAAAAAAAGAUCCAUCCUUUGGUGUAGAUAUAAAGCUUUGUAUGUAGCAGCAUACACCACUAUUCCGUACUUUAGUAAGAUCAAGUACAUUCCCUCAAAAAAAAGAUCAAGUAGGUUAAUUAGGAGGUCAAUCGAAAGCUUCUAAUCAAUAGAGCUCCUCAACAUUCUACACAUACAGUAUAUAUACUUAACCGAAGAAAAAAUGUUUUCCAUCGAACCUCGA